AUCUUAAGUUCUAUAUAAGCUCUGUUGGACAGUUAUAUAUAACAUACAAACAUGAAAAUUCGAAGGUUUUGUUUAUCACAUCCACUGCAACCACAACAAACAAUGUUUUUGUUUUCAACUAGGUCAAGGUUUGUUUCUCUUUUCAUUCCCAAAAAGUUUCUUCCUUUUAAUUUCAUUCCCUCUUUUUGCUUCUCAGCUUCAACCCUAUUCCCUCAAUUCAAUAAUCCUCAUCUUGACAAUUCCAUUUCAUUGUUCAAUUCUUUGCUCCAUAACAAUCCUACCCCACCACCCAUUGAAUUUGGCAAGAUUUUAGGUUCCAUUGUGAAAGCUAAGCAUUACUCAAUUGCUAUUUCCCUUUCUCAACAAAUGGAAAUUAGGGGAAUUAACCCUGACUUUGUAACUUGCAGUCUCUUAAUCAAUUGUUUUUGCCAAUUGGGUCAUAUCACUUUUGCUUUCUCUGUUUUCUCAAAGAUUCUCAAAAGGGGUUAUCAUCCUGAUACAAUAACUUUAAAUACACUCAUCAAGGGCUUUUGUCUCAAAGGUGAGGUUCAUAAAGCAUUGCACUUUCAUGACAAGGUGGUAGCACAAGGAUUCCAGUUGAAUCAAGUUAGUUACGGGACUUUGAUCAACGGGUUAUGUAAAGUUGGAGAAACAAGAGCAGCUCUAGAGUUGCUGAGACGAGUUGAUGGGAAAUUGGUUCAACCUAAUGUGGUAAUGUACAGCACGAUUAUUGAUAGUCUGUGCAAAGAUAAACUUGUUUAUGAUGCGUGUGAUUUAUAUUCUGAAAUGGUUGUCAAGAGAAUUUAUCCUGAUGUUGUCACUUACAAUGCACUAAUUAGUGGCUUUUGCAUCAUGGGUCAAUUAAAAGAAGGAAUUGAUUUGUUUAAUAAAAUGACAAUGGAAAACAUCAACCCAGAUUUGUAUACUUUUAAUAUAUUGGUUGAUGCUUUUUGUAAGGAAGGGAAGUUGAAAGAAGCUAAAAAUGUGUUUCUUGUGAUGAUGAAAAAUGACAUAAAGCCGGAUAUUGUUACUUACAACAGUUUAAUGGAUGGAUAUUGUCUCGUUAAUGAAGUGAACAAGGCAAAGAGUAUACUCAACAUUAUGGCCCAAAGGGGAGUGGCUCCUAACGUUAGGAGCUACAAUAUUAUGAUUAAUGGACUCUGUAAGAUUAAAAUGGUGGAUGAAGCCAUGAACCUCUUCAAAGAAAUGCAGUACAGAAAAAUUGUUCCUGAUGUUGUAACUUACAAUUCCCUCAUUGGUGGUUUGUGCAAAUCGAGGAGAAUUACAUAUGCUUUGGAGCUUGUUGGUGAGAUGCAUGAUAGGGGGCAACCACUUGAUAUAUAUACUUACAAUCAUAUAUUGGAUGCUUUAUGCAAAAGCCAUGAUGUUGACAAGGCAAUUGCAUUAUUGAAAAAAUAUAAAGACAAUGGUAUUCAACCAAAUAUACACACGUAUACUAUUCUUCUCAACGGAUUGUGUAAAGGUGGAAGAAUAGAGGAUUCACAAAAGAUUUUUGAAGAUCUUUUGGUCAAAGGGUACAAUCUAAAUGUCUGUACAUAUAAUGUUAUGAUCCAAGGGUUUUGUAACAAGGGCUUGUUGGACGAAGCGUUGGAUUUGUUCUCAAAAAUGAAAGACAAUGGCUGCAUUCCAAAUGCUUUAACUUACGAAAUAAUUAUUCAUUCCCUCUUUGAAAAAGAUGAAAAUGAAAAAGCGGAGAAACUUCUUCGGGAAAUGAUUGUGAGAGGUCUUUAAACCGAAACUAGGUAAGAUGUUUUUCUAUUUAAACAUUAUUAUUUUGAAUCAAUGUUUGAACUUUAUUUUAUCAUUUCAAUCAAUUUUGUUAAGUGUGUUUAUAAUUCACAAAUUGGUAGAUUGGUAGUUCCAACUUGAGAGAAAUUUGUAGAAUAUUAAAAUUAUUGCUGUCUUAUGAGUAACUGAUAGUCUUGUUGUAACUGAUAGACCGUAAGCUCUGGUUUAUGAUUAUUCUUUUUGAUUCAUUGCUGCCAUUCCUGAUAUACUGUUUUGGAAUCUUUACAAAUACAAAGGUAGAAUACAUGUGAAAUCUGAUGGGGAUUAUGGAUAUAAGUUUGCUUGUUUAGGCCUAAAAGCAAGGUCCAUAAUAUUUAGGGGAAAAGAGUUAGUUAGUUAGAGAAGUAGAACAUUUGAAUACUGAUUGUACAGUUCCUUUUUUCAACAGUGUUUUUUUAUCCCUUUCUCCUUUAAUUGGGUUACAUGUUAAAUAAACAUCAUUUAGAUUCACAGUAUUUAUAAUUAUUUUUCUUAACAUAGUGAGAAGAUGUAAGUGCUAUUCCUUUUAAAUACAUACAUCUAUAGAGUUGAUUUGUUACUUUAGCUGAUUUUUAAGACGUGGUGUAUCUCCUUAGGUCAACCAAAACAUGUAGCUGUUAUGCUAGAACAUUUUGCAAUAAGAUUGAGUGGUUUACUUGAGCCAAAAGAACAUGCAUGGUGACCGGAACACUGGUUAGUACAUAGGCAAAUUAGCAACACUGGUUAGUACACAGGCGAGUUAGAAACGGUAAUAAGAAUAGCCAAUUAUGUGGUGUAGAUAUCUAGAAAACAUUUUAUGCAUUUGAUUUCAUCUCAAUCAUUUUCAUAUUUUAUUCAACCUUUAUUCUUUAAGACUUAACUUUUAACACCAAUAAUUUGUAGACUACUUCAAAUAUCUUCCUCAUCAUAUCCUUCACGGGCAAGGUUAGAGUGUAAUAGAUACCUUUUUAAAAUGUAUAAUACUUCUUUUCGCUUUUCAAUUUUUUAUCAAUAAAUUUUUAUUUCUCUUCCUUACAAAAAAAAGAAAGAAAAUUUGAGCAGGGGUUUGAUAGUUUUUGGCUUGGAAUCAUCUUGAGGCAUGGCUCCUAAUCACCUAUGUGAUCCUAAUGCAUAAGAAGUGUUCAGUGCUCUUAGAACAUUAGAUGGAUUGUGUAAAGGUUGAAGACUAAAGGAUGCGCAAAAAGUUUUUGAAGAUCUUAUGUUAAAGGCUAUAAUCCAUGGGUUAGACGAGUUGCUAGUGAAUUGGAAGUUGCAGACAACAGCCAAAUGAAAUGCUAAUAUGUUAUAUGUUGCAUCUGAAGUAGAGUGAGAGUGAAGCAUGCAAGCCGAAAAAUCUUCACCCCAUUUUCUCCAACUGUACUUUCAUUUGUUAUAAUUGAAUUGUGUAUAUUGUGUUCCACAAAGACUUCAAUUACCUUGUAUCUUUUGAGAUCUGUUGCAAAUUUUACUACAUUAGUAUAACUGCUGAGAGGUCUAAGUCCAUGAUUAAAAGAGUACUUGGAACAUUUAAGUCUA